GACGAACGCUGGCGGCGUGCCUAAUACAUGCAAGUUGAGCGCUGAAGGUUGGUACUUGUACCAACUGGAUGAGCAGCGAACGGGUGAGUAACGCGUGGGGAAUCUGCCUUUGAGCGGGGGACAACAUUUGGAAACGAAUGCUAAUACCGCAUAAAAACUUUAAACACAAGUUUUAAGUUUGAAAGAUGCAAUUGCAUCACUCAAAGAUGAUCCCGCGUUGUAUUAGCUAGUUGGUGAGGUAAAGGCUCACCAAGGCGAUGAUACAUAGCCGACCUGAGAGGGUGGUAGGCCACAUUGGGACUGAGACACGGCCCAAACUCCUACGGGAGGCAGCAGGAGGGAAUCUUCGGCAAUGGACGAAAGUCUGACCGAGCAACGCCGCGUGAGUGAAGAAGGUUUUCGGAUCGUAAAACUCUGUUGGUAGAGAAGAACGUUGGUGAGAGUGGAAAGCUCAUCAAGUGACGGUAACUACCCAGAAAGGGACGGCUAACUACGUG
rnacentral:rRNA from 1 species